GGAGCCUCUGCAGCUCGAAAUUACUGGGCUGGAUAGUUUUUAUAAUAGAGAUUCUAUCGUCAUUGCCUACAAAUUCAAAAGUGCUGGUGACAACAGCACUUUUGAAUUGGUAUAUGAUGUGUUGGAUGUUCUCUCCAGACGAUGCCUAAGCAGAAUGUCGCAGAAACUUUUGCAGUCUUCGGUUUGUCUUGAAAAUUUGCAAAACAUGGUGCUAUAUGCAUGCAUCAAAGAAGAUGCAAGUUAUCACAGAUUGUGUCAGAUAGCACAUUCUGUGAGAAAACAUUUUUCUUCAUUGAAUGUGACGUUUGUAGAUAGCAGACCUUUUG